AAUCAACGCUGGCGGCGUGCCUCAGACAUGCAAGUCGAACGAUUAAAGCUCUCUUCGGAGAGUGCAUAGAGUGGCGCACGGGUGAGUAACACGUAAGUAAUCUACCCUCGAGUGGGGAAUAACGUCCGGAAACGGACGCUAAUACCGCAUAAUGCAGCGGCACCGCAAGGUGACAGUUGUUAAAGAUUUAUCGCUUGAGGAGGAGCUUGCGGCAGAUUAGCUAGUUGGUAAGGUAAUGGCUUACCAAGGCUACGAUCUGUAACCGGUCUUAGAGGACGGUCGGUCACACUGACACUGAAUAACGGGUCAGACUCCUACGGGAGGCAGCAGUCGGGAAUUUUGGGCAAUGGGCGAAAGCCUGACCCAGCAACGCCGCGUGAAGGAUGAAGUAUUUCGGUAUGUAAACUUCGAAAGAAUAGGAAGAAUAAAUGACGGUACUAUUUAUAAGGUCCGGCUAACUACGUGCCAGCAGCCGCCGUAAG
rnacentral:rRNA from 1 species